rnacentral:rRNA from 1 species
UGGGGGGGCCUAUACAUGCAGUAGAACGCUGAAGAGAGGAGCUUGCUCUUCUUGGAUGAGUUGCGAACGGGUGAGUAACGCGUAGGUAACCUGCCUUGUAGCGGGGGAUAACUAUUGGAAACGAUAGCUAAUACCGCAUAACAAUGGAUGACACAUGUCAUUUAUUUGAAAGGGGCAAUUGCUCCACUACAAGAUGGACCUGCGUUGUAUUAGCUAGUAGGUGAGGUAAUGGCUCACCUAGGCGACGAUACAUAGCCGACCUGAGAGGGUGAUCGGCCACACUGGGACUGAGACACGGCCCAGACUCCUACGGGAGGCAGCAGUAGGGAAUCUUCGGCAAUGGGGGCAACCCUGACCGAGCAACGCCGCGUGAGUGAAGAAGGUUUUCGGAUCGUAAAGCUCUGUUGUAAGUCAAGAACGGGUGUGAGAGUGGAAAGUUCACACUGUGACGGUAGCUUACCAGAAAGGGACGGCUAACUACGUGCCAGCAGCCGCGGUAAUACGUAGGUCCCGAGCGUUGUCCGGAUUUAUUGGGCGUAAAGCGAGCGCAGGCGGUUUGAUAAGUCUGAAGUUAAAGGCUGUGGCUCAACCAUAGUUCGCUUUGGAAACUGUCAAACUUGAGUGCAGAAGGGGAGAGUGGAAUUCCAUGUGUAGCGGUGAAAUGCGUAGAUAUAUGGAGGAACACCGGUGGCGAAAGCGGCUCUCUGGUCUGUAACUGACGCUGAGGCUCGAAAGCGUGGGGAGCGAACAGGAUUAGAUACCCUGGUAGUCCACGCCGUAAACGAUGAGUGCUAGGUGUUGGAUCCUUUCCGGGAUUCAGUGCCGCAGCUAACGCAUUAAGCACUCCGCCUGGGGAGUACGACCGCAAGGUUGAAACUCAAAGGAAUUGACGGGGGCCCGCACAAGCGGUGGAGCAUGUGGUUUAAUUCGAAGCAACGCGAAGAACCUUACCAGGUCUUGACAUCCCGAUGCUAUUUCUAGAGAUAGAAAGUUACUUCGGUACAUCGGUGACAGGUGGUGCAUGGUUGUCGUCAGCUCGUGUCGUGAGAUGUUGGGUUAAGUCCCGCAACGAGCGCAACCCCUAUUGUUAGUUGCCAUCAUUCAGUUGGGCACUCUAGCGAGACUGCCGGUAAUAAACCGGAGGAAGGUGGGGAUGACGUCAAAUCAUCAUGCCCCUUAUGACCUGGGCUACACACGUGCUACAAUGGUUGGUACAACGAGUUGCGAGUCGGUGACGGCGAGCUAAUCUCUUAAAGCCAAUCUCAGUUCGGAUUGUAGGCUGCAACUCGCCUACAUGAAGUCGGAAUCGCUAGUAAUCGCGGAUCAGCACGCCGCGGUGAAUACGUUCCCGGGCCUUGUACACACCGCCCGUCACACCACGAGAGUUUGUAACACCCGAAGUCGGUGAGGUAACCUUUGGAGCCAGCCGCUAAAGGUGACCAAGAA